UAUAUUAGUAUGCGGGAAUCGAACCCGUGCCGCCCGCGUGGCAGGCGAGCAUUCUACCACUGAACCACCGAUGC
rnacentral:tRNA from 1 species